GAGGUCCAGCCUGCCCAGUGACUAUUCAACGGCCGCGGUAUACUAACCGUGCGAAGGUAGCGUAAUCACUUGUCUUCUAAAUAAAGACCAGUAUGAAAGGCAUCACGAAGGCUAAACUGUCUCCUCUCUCCAAUCAGUGAACCUAAUCUCCCCGUGAAGAAGCGGGGAUCCCAUUAUAAGACGAGAAGACCCCAUGGAGCUUAAAACAAUUAUGUGUUUUUGGUUGGGGUGACCGCGGAGAAAAACUCAUCCUCCACAAUGAAAAAUAAGUUACAACUUUAUAUAUCAAAAAAUUGACAUUCAUUGACCCAACAAAUUGAUUAACGGACCAAGUUACCCUGGGGAUAACAGCACAAUCCACUUUGAGAGCCCCUAUCGACAAGUGGGCUUAUGACCUCGAUG
rnacentral:rRNA from 1 species